AUGCUUGCUUUGGCAGCAUAUAUUCUAAAAUUGGAACAAUACAGAGAAGAUUAACAUUGCCUCUGUGAAAACGAUGAUCCACAAAAUUCAGGAAGCCUUCCAUAUUUUU
ensembl:snRNA U6 U6 spliceosomal RNA